rnacentral:rRNA from 1 species
UUGAUUGUUCUCUAUGCUGACUGAUGCAGGAAUUUGGCAAAAUAUCGUCUAGGCGAUUUUUUGUUAAACUCGAUCUCA